ACUAUUUUGGCAGAAAAGUGUGAUGAUUUUAGAAGUCAUUAAUAUAUAAUUUAUUAUAUAUGUAGUA
rnacentral:tRNA from 2 species